rnacentral:rRNA from 1 species
GAUGAACGCUGGCGGCGUGCCUAAUACAUGCAAGUCGAGCGAACAGACGAGGAGCUUGCUCCUCUUACGUUAGCGGCGGACGGGUGAGUAACACGUGGAUAACCUACCUAUAAGACUGGGAUAACUUCGGGAAACCGGAGCUAAUACCGGAUAAUAUAUGGAACCGCAUGGUUCAAUAGUGAAAGACGGUUUUGCUGUCCCUUAUAGAUGGAUCCGCGCCGCAUUAGCUAGUUGGUAAGGUAACGGCUUACCAAGGCAACGAUGCGUAGCCGACCUGAGAGGGUGAUCGGCCACACUGGAACUGAGACACGGUCCAGACUCCUACGGGAGGCAGCAGUAGGGAAUCUUCCGCAAUGGGCGAAAGCCUGACGGAGCAACGCCGCGUGAGUGAUGAAGGUCUUCGGAUCGUAAAACUCUGUUAUUAGGGAAGAACAAAUGUGUAAGUAACUAUGCACGUCUUGACGGUACCUAAUCAGAAAGCCACGGCUAACUACGUG